CCUACGGGAGGCAGCAGUGAGGAAUAUUGGUCAAUGGACGAGAGUCUGAACCAGCCAAGUAGCGUGAAGGAUGACUGCCCUAUGGGUUGUAAACUUCUUUUAUAUGGGAAUAAAAUGUUCCACGUGUGGGAUUUUGUAUGUACCAUAUGAAUAAGGAUCGGCUAACUCCGUGCCAGCAGCCGCGGUAAUACGGAGGAUUCGAGCGUUAUCCGGAUUUUUUGGGUUUAAAGGGAGCGUAGGUGGAUUGUUAAGUCAGUUGUGAAAGUUUGCGGCUCAACCGUAAAAUUGCAGUUGAAACUGGCAGUCUUGAGUACAGUAGAGGUGGGCGGAAUUCGUGGUGUAGCGGUGAAAUGCUUAGAUAUCACGAAGAACUCCGAUUGCGAAGGCAGCUCACUGGACUGCAACUGACACUGAGGCUCGAAAGUGUGGGUAUCAAACAGGAUUAGAUACCCGAGUAGUC
rnacentral:rRNA from 1 species